rnacentral:rRNA from 1 species
GACGAACGCUGGCGGCGUGCUUAACACACGCAAGCCGAACGGAAAGGCCCUGCUUUUGUGGGGUGCUCGAGUGGCGAACGGGUGAGUAACACGUGAGUAACCUGCCCUUGACUUUGGGAUAACUUCAGGAAACUGGGGCUAAUACCGGAUAGGAGCUCCUGCUGCAUGGCGGGGGUUGGAAAGUUUCGGCGGUUGGGGAUGGACUCGCGGCUUAUCAGCUUGUUGGUGGGGUAGUGGCUUACCAAGGCUUUGACGGGUAGCCGGCCUGAGAGGGUGACCGGCCACAUUGGGACUGAGAUACGGCCCAGACUCCUACGGGAGGCAGCAGUGGGGAAUAUUGCACAAUGGGCGGAAGCCUGAUGCAGCAACGCCGCGUGCGGGAUGACGGCCUUCGGGUUGUAAACCGCUUUCGCCUGUGACGAAGCGUGAGUGACGGUAAUGGGUAAAGAAACACCGGCUAACUACGUG